rnacentral:antisense_RNA from 1 species
UGUGGGAGCUGGCUUGCCUGCGAUAGCGGUGUUGAAUUCAGCACCGCUAUCGCAGGCAAGCCAGCUCCCACA